CUUCCUUCUUAGGAAUGGCUAGAAAUGACUAAAUAAAUUAUGUCAAAGUCUUCUCAGAGGAGAAAUAUUUUCCUACCAUUUGAAUUCAGUCAGUAUCUUACAUAUCUAACCAAAUAGCAGGUGUGGGUUUCAAUGAAAAAUGCACAGUUCAAAAGUUUGAAUCUGAUUCACAUACCCCUGGUCAGGCUGGAAUCUGAAUCCUGAAUUUAUUAUACCCAUGUAAGGCAUUUCCUGAUGUAGGCCCUCCAGACAGAGGAGUGCUGAGGGAGGCAGGCAGCUCUGCAGGCAAAGAAUGCAAGAGGAUUAGAAAUUGUAUUUUAAUGUAAAGCAGGCUCUUAACCGUCUGGAGGAGGGGGCUUUUUCAAUACAUGCGGUAGUAUUACCAGUUGCUUUAAUGUCCAAUGAGUAGUGAUGAAGCUAGAAGUCUGAGUCUACAGAUUCACUGGGAUAAAGCAAAGGUAGAAGAUCCGAUUCUGCAUCUGUCACUGUGAUUCUUUCUGAAGAGCAUCUUCCACAAGCGCUGCACUCCUUAAACUCAUCUGAUGAAAUACCCCACAAAACCCAUGGAUAGUUUUUUCACAGAGUUUCUGCCACCAACACAUGAAAGUCUAUAUUUCCAGAAAGAAAGUAUCUCCUUCUGCAUGGAAGAGAAUAAAACUGACUGUGUUGCCAGUAGACCUACUGCAAGGAGUCAUGCUCAAAAUCAUUAUCAUUACAGAUAUACCAUAAACAUGGAAGCAUUGUGCUUCAGAUCGAACAACUGAAUGUUCAGGCAUCUGUUUGAGGAUGGAGGAGCAACACUUUCAUAGAGAAACUUGAAAGGAUAACUAGGAUGGACAAUUACAACUGAGGUUCCUAGGUCUACAAAAGGACUUGGACAUAAGGCUGCGAUCACUGGGCCAUCUUCUUCCCCCUCCUCCCCAGCCAGCUGGGCAUACCCCAUAGCAGGAGCAGCAGGUGGGACCUUUUUUAAAGUCCCCCAGUCAGGUAAGAAUCUCCAUCGUGGCUACUGUCCCGUUCCGGUUGCAUUGCAUGCAGGGCAAAAACUGGCUGAUGGCAGACUGGGAGCACUGGCAUCCCCACACCUGCUCUUGGUGUGGGGAUGCCAGGUAGCUUGGCGGGGUGGAGGGAGCGGUGAAGAGCAAUUUUUCUGACACUGUUGCUGAAGCUGGCUCAUUGUGGAACAGGGCAGGGGGUGCUCUGGACCCCUGCCUGCCCACAGGACAGCAAGGGCAGUGGAGAAAGCAGCAGUG
rnacentral:lncRNA from 1 species